rnacentral:rRNA from 1 species
CCUACGGGAGGCAGCAGUAGGGAAUCUUCCACAAUGGGCGAAAGCCUGAUGGAGCAACGCCGCGUGGGUGGAGAAGGUCUUCGGAUCGUAAAACCCUUUUGUUAGAGAAGUAAGUGCGUGAGAGUAACUGUUCACGUUUCGACGGUAUCUAACCAGAAAGCCUCGGCUAACUACGUCCCAGCAGCCGCGGUAAUACGUAGGUGGCAAGCGUUAUCCGGAUUUAUUGGGAGUAAGGGGAACGCAGGCGGUCUUUUAAGUCUGAUGUGAAAGCCUUCGGCUUAACCGGAGUAGUGCAUUGGAAACUGGGAGACUUGAGUGCAGAAGAGGAGAGUGGAACUCCAUGUGUAGCGGUGAAAUGCGUAGAUAUAUGGAAGAACACCAGUGGCGAAGGCGGCUCUCUGGGCUGUAACUGACGCUGAGGUUCGAAAGCGUGGGUAGCAAACAGGAUUAGAUACCCUAGUAGUC